rnacentral:lncRNA from 1 species
GAUGCACCUUCUUUGAAUUGUUUCUAGCUGCACAGAGGAGAAAAAAGAAAGAAUGAAGUGAAAAGACCCAAACAUCCUUGGCUGCCUCAAAGCAGAGGUGACCCAUCACUUUACUUCUGCUCCUAAUACAUUGAUGUUAAAUAACUACCUAUCUGUACCCAGCUAGACACGUUGUAGGUUUCUGUGAAAUACAGGAAAAACAUGUGGAUAAUUGGUUAGCACUAGCUAUCUCUGCC